UGAGUUAUCUCUAUCUCGGUCUGCACUUCUUCUGCUUCCUUCACUUAUCUCUCACCACCUAUCUCUCACAACUUAAUCACUCUCUAUCUUUUGUCGAUUUUUUCUUAAUCACAACAGUAAGUCGCUUGUGAAUCAGUAUUAGGUGCUCCUUUUCUUCUUCUUCAAAGAGAUCCAUCACAAAUAAAAUUCUUAGACCUAUAGUUUUGAGAUUUCUCUCAACCUAUUUCUCUUAACCGAAUCAGUAUGAAGAAAUCUAAGGUUUCUAAGGUUCUUAAAGAGAUUUUUGGGAAAGAAUUACAUAUGGUUUGGUUGGUGAUGAAAAGGGUUUUGAAUUAACGGCUUAAUUAAACAACUUGAAAUAACUUCUAAGUUCUAGGUUUUCUUGAAUGGAUAAAAGUUGUGCUUGAAUGGGGUUUUCCGGAAAUUUUAUUUGUAUGUUGUUGUUGUCGUGGUGGUGUUUCUUGUUAGGUGCUUGUUCUUCUCACUACAUCAGUUUGUGUUGCUGGAUUUUUAUCAGCCUGCUGACUUUUGGAUUGCUCUUCUAGGCAACGAGAACCACCUGUGGAGGACAUCUGUUUCUUGCAUCAUUGAAUUUAAGCACAUGCAGAGGUAGUAAUGUGUGAUCUUGGACUAAGUUCAGAGCUGAAGGUGGCAUGUAAUUCUGCACUAACGAAAGUUGCAGGAUUAAGAGAAUCAAUCUUAUACGCACUCCAAAAAAUCUGGGCUUAUCAAGAUUGACAGUAUACUUUAUUUAUAGCCAUGUAGUUUUACAACUAUGGUUUCAUCCCACGUAUUUUCUGUGAGGAUGCCGAUCCUAUGGAUAUGCUUAUGACAUGCAGAUACUUGGUGCAUCCGCCAAAGUUUCUCCAAAGCCUAAAGUCUCUUUAACCGAAAAGUAAUAUAUCAGUAAUAGACUAAGUGUGAUAGUUGGUGCACUCGCCAAAGUUUCUCCAAAUCCUGAAGUCUCUCUGACCCAAAACUAAUAUUCCAGGGGCUAGGAAUAUGUGAAAUUCUUCUAAGGAAGCAGAUCAAUAGCAGCACAAACCAUCUCCUGUGGUUUUCUUUGUAUCAUCUCAUGCACCCUGUUUGAUUGGUAACCAGCUCCACAUAGUGAAUUACUUUUCUGUUAUGUUUAGGUACCGGGUAGAUUUGCUUCUUCUUAUAAAGUAUGUAUGGUUAUGAUAAGUUCCGUUUUAUGUGGGAAUGCUAGUGACCAAAAUAAACAAUUCAAUGGGGCAGGGUUAGUGGACUUCAAAAUUUUACUGAAAUAGUCUUUCUUGACAGCAUGUUUAACCUUAGUUUCCUUUCUUACGAAGCCUUAUCACAACAUCUUAGGAUGGUUUACCUAACUAAAAAAUCCUAGGAUUGGUUUACUUCUGAAUAUUUAUCCUUCGCUAAGCCUAUUUGACCUUGCAGGAAGCAUGUUCUAUUUGGAGGUGCUCGACGUGUGAAUUUGCUGAAAGACUUUGUAGUUGACAGUAGUACCCAUAUUUAAAUGGAUCAAAAUAGGUUACAGAAAACAAGUUUUACCAAUAUAUCUUAAGGUUGUCAAAAAUUCCUAAUCUAAUAGCUGGCUCAAGUAAGGUGAACUCAUUGGUGCAGAUAUUUCUAAAUGAUCAAACUACUGAUAUGUUGUGAAAUAGAAACUUAUUAUCAUUCGGAAACACCUUAUUUAACAAGUAUCCAGGUAUUGCAGUUCUAUUCUUCAUGUGCUUGUUUGAGUUCUUUUUCUCGUCUCUUUUUCAUUUUGCGGCUGUUAGUUGAAAUAGUCUUGGGUUUUAUUUGUAGCUUAAGGAUAGAAUGAUAGACAUGAAUUGGGCUAGUUUGUCAGGCAGUGAUGUCUUGUUAAUUGGUAAUAAGCUGCUAACUUGUAUGGAAGAUUCUGUAGUUGGUUUAUUAAGUUUGUAGGAGGAAUAUCUACAGGUUGAACUUAUUUUUCCUUAAUGUUGAAAUUUUCAGAUUUGGAAGAUUGUAAAAGUUGUAAUUGAGAAGUCAUUUUCAUACAAAUUUAGUUUAAAGUCGUUAUCAAUUGAAUCUUGUAAAAUUCAGUUCCGGACUCAUUUUUAAUCCAAUAUAACUGAUUCAGGUUAAGCUUCAGCUGAAUCAGGUUUAGAUUCAGCUGAAUCAAAUCCUAUUUUUUUAUAAUA